ensembl:lncRNA TRAM2-AS1 TRAM2 antisense RNA 1 (head to head)
GCGCCCAGGCCUGCCCGGACAGGAAGUGGGCCCAGCUUUCCCACUCCUCGCUCCGCUCCUUCCUCCGCGGGAAGGGCAGGCCCCGGAGGCAGCGAGCGCCCCGGGGGUGGCCGGGCAGCCGGAUGCUCCCGGGGUUGCGGGCUGUGGCCCCGGGGGCUGAGGGCGGCGCGGGUGCGGCGGAAGCAGGGAAGCCGCGAACCGGCCUUCUGGCUGGCCACAGCGCCCUGCACGGACGAUCAGUGAAUGGAGAUUACUCAAUUGAACCUUCGUCUUGUGAGGAACAGAAAGAUCAAGAACUCUGAAGCACCUCGACUUUCCACCUGUGAAGAUGUGUUCAAAUUUGCAACGUGCGGCCACACCUAUGAGGUCACUCCCUCUGGAGGAAACCAGCUGCCACUUUGUGAGGAUACUCAUAGUCCUGUGGAGGCAUAUCCUCCAUAUGGCUGAGACCUCCUGCGAACAACCAUCACUGACUUGCCAGACAUGAGUGUGCCACCUUGGAAGCAGAUUUUCCAGCCCCAGUUAAGCCUUCAGAUGACAUCAGCCCCUGCUAAUCUCUUGACUACAACCUCAUGAGAGACCCUGAGCCAGAACUAGCCAGGCUUACCCCUCAUGGUUACAAAGUGGCUGCAACAGCUCCAGGUGUUCUAUCCUUUAACACAGAAUAACUCAAACAACAAGACCCAAUAUUCAGACAAGAAGGAAAGGGACUUUUGGAGAGUGAAGAAAACUUUCCUAGAAACCUCAAACUUCUCCCCAUGCCUUAUUGGCCAGAUUGUAUCCCAUGCCCAUUUCUAAACCAAUCAUUGGCAAAGUGAGUGGAAUUGACGUGAUUAGAUUAACUUUACCAAGAAUGCAUCCUCAGAGAGGCUGAGAAAAAGUCCAGCCUCCUUUGAAGAGCCUGGCUACCUUUCACCUGAACAAAACAAGAAUUCUGAUGAAAAAUGGAGAAUGUAUGUGGAGCAGGCACCCGGAGUGUCUAUGCCAGGAUUUUUUUUCAGUGCGUUUCACCGGUUAUAUUUUUGUCUCUUUACCUUACAAGAUAUGUGGCACGUUUGCCUAAAACAAGCCUUGCUUUCUGAUUUCUGUGCACUAGGCACUUAAACCUUGCAAAUGUCGCUUACCUAACAGUCACUGUCAAGGAGUACCUGGCUAAAGAAUCUCCAGCUAGACAAAGUAGAAGUGUCUGUGCUCUGGCAGUUGAAUAUAUUGUAUCAGGCUCAACAGCACCUUUCACCAAAGGAUGAGACUUCACAACCAUUAGAUCUUCUUUUAUUUUGUUUUUAUUAAAAAAAAAAAUUUUAACACACCAUUGCUAACUUGAAGCCAUUAGAUCUUCUUACCCCCAAUACCACAAAAGUUUAGUGGAAUCAGGGGUAUACCAAGGCAGGUGGAGUAGGGGAGCUGGGAGUGGUCAGCCCCCAGGGCAGGCAAUGAGGGAUUGUGAAUCUGUGAAGAAUUUUAAAGCAAUGAUACAGCUCUAAAUGCAAUGUACUAUCCUGGACUUAGCCCUGGAAAAGAAAAAAGAUAUUAGUGGAAAAACUGGUAAAAUUCAAAUAAUGUCUGUAGUUUGGUUAAUAGUAUUAUACCAAUGUUAAUUUCUGUGUUUUGAUAAAUGUACCAUGGUUAUGUAAGCUGGAUGAAAGAUAUGUGGGAAAUCUCUCUACUAUUUCUGCAACUCUCCUGUAAACCUAAAAAUGUUUCAAAAUAAAA